GUUCUCCUCCAUGGUCUUCAGAUAUCAAGCUAUCUGAUGUGCAAAAAGGGAUCUUCAUCAAUGACAUCUGGACUUUAACAUAUCUUCCUUUUGAAAAAUUCCUGAGUUCCUUCUGUCUUUUUCUCUUCUAAGGGUUACUUUCACAGGAUCCUGAUGGGCUUCCAGAAAGCAUCUGAUGAACCCACAGGGCUGGUCCAAUCAGAGGAAACUGAGGGGUUUCUUCAGUAGCAGACACUGACUGGAGGAAGAUUGUAAAAGGUGAUCACAUGACCCCAGGAACAUUGCAAAUGUCAUAAAUACGAACCAGUUGCUGAGCAUCUGAAUUUUGAUCACAUGACUUUGGGGAUGCUACAACGGUGAUUUGGAAAACCUGUGGGAGCAGCUGACAGAAAGUUCUGACAGGCUGGCAUAGAGAGGAUCCUGGAAGGAUGGAAGGCUGAGUCGACCUUGAGCCACUCAGAAUCGAACUACUGGCAGCUGGCAGUCAACAGAAGUAGUCUGCAGUAUUCAUAAAGCGCAUAAUAAAGAUUGGAUAAAAAAUCUAAUAGACAGACUUUGCAUCUUCAAAUAUUUUCUUUUACUGGAACUACAGAACUUCAAGGUCAUGUUGGUUCUGCUGGAGGAUCUGCAGAAAAAGGAGGUCCAAUCACUAAUAUUUUUUCAGAAGAAAGACAAAGGAAGGCAAAGGAGAGAAACCCCCCCCGAAAAAUUAAUUAUUAAUUAAUCAAAUUAAUUUAUUAUUUAUUAAUUUAAUAAUUAUUUCAUAUUUUGCCUUUUUAUAAUGACUGUUCUAUUUUUAAUCACAUAAUUUGAAUUUACCACUACAUUUGAGUUUCUACUACACCAAAAUGUAGGAUUUUCUUCACCCACUUUAUGCUUUCCUUUAUAAAAUGCCAUUUUUUCAUUUUGGGGAUGGUUAGGUUUUCUCCAUCUGUUUCUAUUUAAUUCAUGUUCCUUCUAAAAUUGUUGUAUUAGACAGACACACAGCAAGACUGUUGAGUGAAGAUCCUAUUUCUUGCCAAGCAUACAAUGGAAUAAGGUGGUUUCUAUCUAACAGUGUGAGCUGUUACUGCUGCUGCUACUGGAGGCACUAAGUGUUCUGUUACAAAAACCUUGCUCUCUGUGCUAUAAUCGGUACAUCAAAAAUAGUGAAUUAGAUAGAGAUCUGAAAUCUACAUCAAUGUGUUGGACUCUUCCAUAGGUAGCAAAUUCCAAAUACAAUGUUGAAAUGAGACAAUCGAUCUCCAAUCAAUUUGCCAUAAAUUUUUCUAUUUUACUUAUUACAUCACUGACAUCUUUGAUGUAAGAUUAGUUAACAUUUUUAUUAACAUUGUUGGACUUUUCCAUGGGCAUGGAUUAUAUAUAUAUAAGUCCAUUUCUCUUUGUCCUUUUCUCAUCAUAUGCUAAAUACAUAUAAUUGGCAUAUUGGAACAUAUCAGUAAGAUUGUUCACCUUAUUGAUAUGUUGUCACUUUCUAUUUUAUACAUAAAGAACUGAGGCCAAGUGAUGGGAACAAAUCUCUUAUAUUUUGUCCAAAUAUUCCAUAUUCAGUCUACCUUCUGCCCAUUUUAUUUUGAUUUGGAGAUGGUAUGUCUGGAUGACUGUUGGUCUUGGCUGAAGAAUUAAAAGUGGUGAUCACCAACUCUGCAUUAGACUUCCAUUCCAGGUUGGCUAUGUAUUCUAGGACAUAAAGUCAUCUUUUACAUGGAAUAUCCAAUUAGGUAAACUUGUUAUACAACUUUGAGACAAAGUUUGCAUAUCUCUCAAAUUUCAAAAUUCUUGACAAUGCAGUAAUUUAAAUGUCUCCCAAUAAUUAUUUUUCUUAAUAAGUUUUCAUGACUCAAAAUGCCAUUUUAAGAAUCAAAAUAAGACAAAAAUAGAACAUCUAAGUCUACCCUAUCUUAGAAUUAUCUUCUUGCUCUUCUACCAUAUAUAAAUUCUCCCUCCCUCCCUCCCUCUUUCUCCUCUCUCCCUUAGAAAAAUCACAUUAAUCUUACAAAUACUGAUACGUGUAUGUAUAUGAUGAAAACUAUGCCACUUAAAUAAAAUACUCUCUGCUGACUGAUCAAAGUCUUGGAUAAUUGUGCUGUUUGAUUGAUAGCAUUACUCUUUGGCGAAUCAAACUGUAAGUUUGAUAUGAUGUUCUUUUUUUAGAUGU